AUAGCAAUUUUUACUUUUGUAAUUUGUAUUUGUAAUACCUAUAUUUUUUUCCAGUAGGUAACCAUAAACCAGUUACAUUUACAAGUUUAUCGCGCACACUUGUCUAAAAUCGUUUGGAAGAAUGCAAGUCACAUAAUAACAGAUAGAGCAACAUUUUCAUUCAAUCACAUAUAAACGUAUAAUGUGUUAUGAAGUGAUGAUAUAAUGUGCAUAGUAUAAAACUUUUAAUAUUGUUUUAAUGCUAAGUUUUAAAAAAUGGCCCCGAAUUUAAGCAAAUUUACCUCCAGAACUGAUGUAAAAAUUGGUAUAGCCGCUUCUGCGGCAUUAAGUGCAUGGUUAUUGAGAAAUUUCUUAAAACCAAGUGCUUCCAAAAAUCUCAAACCUGGGCUCUCACCUGAAGAAAGAGUGCAAUAUAUGAUUAAAGAUAAAGACAAAAAGGAGCCAAAAGCACAAGUAGAUGCCAGAUUUUUUGCUGAACUCAAAGUACUAUGGGGUAUAAUGGUGCCAGGACUAUGGACCAAGGAAAGUGGCUUCAUGGUGUUAAUAGCUCUUUCAUUAAUAUCUAGAACACUCUGUGACCUGUGGCUUAUUCAGCAUACAACACUUGUAGAAGGGUCAAUCAUUACAAUGAAUCACAAGGAGUUCAGGCGAUUGUUAUUGAUGUUCUUCACGGCGAUGCCUUUGAUAUCUUUAGUAAACAAUGUCUUAAAGUGGAGCAUAGGAGAAGUUAAAUUAAGAUUAAGAACUAAUCUUUCCUUACAUUUAUAUCAACAAUAUUUAAAAGGUUUCACAUAUUACCAAGUGACGAAUCUAGACAACAGAAUAUCGAACGCAGACCAGUUGCUGACCACAGAUAUAGACAAAUUCUGCGAUACCGUUAUAGAUUUAUAUAGCAAUAUCAGCAAACCUCUACUAGACAUCUCUAUAUAUUUGUACAGAUUGACUGUUAAUUUGGGACCCUCGACACCAGGCAUUAUGAUGAUUUACCUGUUCUUCUCUGGUAUAUUUUUAACGUACCUCCGAAAACCCACAGCUCGAAUGACAGUUCAAGAACAAAAAUUAGAAGGUGAAUUCAGAUAUGUUAAUUCAAGACUUAUUACAAACUCUGAAGAAAUUGCAUUCUAUCAAGGUAAUCAUCGCGAACAGCUAACGAUACUCGCCAGCUUCUACAAGCUGACGAGGCAUCUUCGCAACUUCCUUAACUUCAGAGUCGGAAUGGGAUUCGUUGACAAUAUUAUUGCGAAGUAUAUCGCCAUCACAGUCGGUUUCUACGCAGUAUCACGCCCGUUCUUCGUAGAAGACCACAAUCUGUUAACGGCUGGCACUGAACAGGACCGAUUCAGGCACUACUACACAUACGGGCGUAUGCUGGUGAAGAUGGCGGAGGGCAUCGGGCGGCUGGUGCUGUCGGGCCGCGAGCUCAGCAAGCUGGCGGGGCUGACGGCGCGCGUGACGCAGCUGCGCCGCGUGCUGGCCGACAUCAACCGCGGGAACUACACGCGCACCAUGCUCGAGCGGCCGCCCGGGCACGACGGCGGCCCGCCGGCGCUGGCCCCCGGCGCCGGCCGCAUCGUGUACCAGGACAAGAUCAUCCGCUUCGACCGAGUGCCGCUCGUGACGCCAAACGGGGACGUGCUCAUCAAGGAGCUUAGCUUCGAAGUCAAAUCUGGUAUCAACGUGCUCGUAUGUGGUCCGAACGGUUGUGGAAAAUCUUCAAUGUUCCGUAUGUUAGGCGAGCUGUGGCCAAUAUUCGGAGGAACACUCACAAAGCCCCCGAAAGGGAAGCUGUUUUAUGUCCCACAACGACCUUAUAUGACCCUCGGCACUUUUAGGGAUCAAGUGACCUACCCGCAGACGCGCGAGGAGAUGUCGCGGCGCGGCCGCACGGACGCCGAGCUGCUGCGGUUCCUGGACAUCGUGCAGCUCUCCUACCUCGUGCAGCGCGAAGGCGGCUGGGACGCCGUCGAGGACUGGAUGGACGUGCUGUCGGGCGGGGAGAAGCAGCGGAUAGCCAUGGCGCGGCUGUUCUACCACGCGCCGCAGUUCGCGAUCCUGGACGAGUGCACGAGCGCCGUGUCCGUCGACGUCGAGGGACAGAUGUACCAGUACUGCAGAGAGAUGGGUAUAUCACUCUUUACCGUUUCACAUCGGAAAUCUUUAUGGAAACAUCAUGACCACUACUUACAAAUGGACGGACGUGGAGGUUACGUCUUCGAAGAGAUCGACAAUGAAACGACGGAAUUCGGCUCUUGAUCCGCCUUUUUGGAUAAAUAGAAACUUCUAGAAAAACCAGUAAAAGCUAUAUACCUAUAAUUUUACGGACAAUAUAAUAUAACAAGUUUAAGAUCUAAUACAAUAUUGUUAGUAUUCAGAUGUCUCCGAUAGCUAUUAUUGAUGUGGUUUGUAUAUUCCGAUAACUUCAUUGAAUCACAAUAAUAGUAAUUGUAAUAUUUUAUACGCAUCUAAUGUGAUCCUAUAUUCAAGCAAAUAUUAUUAUUAUAUUUAAGUAUUUCAUAUACGUAAUAGAAAUACUAAAGUACCGUUGUAUUACUUAUUGAACAAAUACAUAUGUGUAUUACUUAAGUAAUAAUACCUAUAUCUACAAUUUAUACAAAAUGCCUUAAAAUAUAAUUUAUAUUUUUUUGAUAUAUAAUUCAAAAUAUGUAUAAAUAAAUACGUAAUUUAUCAUAUAUCUAAAAGAGAAAUAUAUUUAUAAAACUUUCGUAACAAGUCCUACAGACGCGAAAAUCUUUUAGGUUAAAUAAUUAAAUGUAAUAUAUUUAAUUGCAAUGUAAUGUAUUCAUAACAAGUCCUUUGAAACAUAUUUUUUUAAAUACCUUGAAAUUCUAAUUAAACUAUUAUUAGGAAGAAUAUUUUAUUACGUAUUAUAUUGUAAUAGAUUUUUUUUAAUAUUUUUAAUUUGUGUUUAUAAUUGUCUGUAUUAACUUAAGUAUCAUGUAGAUUUUUUAUACACUGUAACGACGUCAUAAUUAAGCGUUAAUACUCGCCACAAUAUUUGCUCAUUUUCUAAGAGUAUAUCGCGAUAAAACUAAUUUAAUUUGAAACGGGACCAGAUUCAUUUGUUAGAUUUUUAUUAAUAUUUAUUCAUGCAUAGAAUCGAAAUAUUAACAAAUAAUAACAUACUAAAAAAAUAUGUAUGUUUCUAAUUAUUUUUUAAAAUCCUAAUAAAAUAAUUAGCAUCUUGAUAGUUCAAGCACUUUUCUUGUUCAUAUGGUAUAUAUUCAUUCCGAUUCAUAAUAAGAAGUAAUUUCAGAUAUUGCACAAAGUACAAAUAAAAGCCUUUAAAGUAAUAUUACUAUUACGAGCUAAAAAUUUAAUAUCAGCAAAGUGUAAU